rnacentral:rRNA from 1 species
ACACGUAGGGGGCGAGCGUUGUCCGGAUUUAUUGGGCGUAAAGAGCUCGUAGGCGGUUUCGUAAGUCGGGUGUGAAACCUCCAGGCUCAACCUGGAGACGCCACCCGAUACUGCGAUGACUAGAGUCCGGUAGGGGAGCGUGGAAUUCCUGGUGUAGCGGUGAACUGCGCAGAUAUCAGGAGGAACACCGACGGCGAAGGCAGCGCUCUGGGCCGGUACUGACGCUGAGGAGCGAAAGCGUGGGGAGCGAACAGGAUUAGAUACCCUGGUAGUCCACGCCGUAAACGUUGGGCACUAGGUGUGGGAUCUUUCCAACGGAUUCCGUGCCGUAGCUAACGCAUUAAGUGCCCCGCCUGGGGAGUACGGCCGCAAGGCUAAA